rnacentral:rRNA from 1 species
UACGAAGGGGGCUAGCGUUGUUCGGAAUUACUGGGCGUAAAGCGCGCGCAGGCGGCUAUCCAAGUCCGUGGUGAAAGCUCGUGGCUCAACUACGAGUCGGCCAUGGAUACUCCUUGACUUGAGCACUGUAGAGGCAGAUGGAAUUCCAGGUGUAGCGGUGGAAUGCGUAGAGAUCCGGAAGAACACCGGUGGCGAAGGCGGUCUGCUGGGGCAGUAGCUGACGCUGAGGCGCGACAGCGUGGGGGAGCAAACAG